AAAUAUAUAUUUUUUAUAAUAAUAUUUAUAAAUUUUUAAAUAUUAUAUUUUAAAUAAAUAAAAUUUUAAUAUUUUAUAGAAUUAUUAAAUUUUAAAAAAUAAAUUAUUAAUAAAAAUAUAUUUUUAAUGUAGAUUAGUAAUUAAAAUAUAUAAAAUUAGACGAAUUUGGAUAUUUUUCGAGUAAUAAUAAUCAAGUUUGGGAUAAGUUUGGAUAUGAGAAUAAAUUUUAAUUGGGUUUGGGAUGAGCUCGGGUAUUUAGAUUAUUAAUUGAAUUCAAAUUCGAUUAGGAAAACUUCCAUGAUCACUUUACCCAUUGUCAUCCCUGUCUAAUGGGUGUUUAUUGAUUUAUUGUGUUGAUUUGGGGUUUUCUUCUGUAAUUUGUAGGGCAUUUGAUGCAUUGAUUUGGGGGGUUUUUUCAUUCUUUAUCAUUUCCAUAUCUGCUUUCCCAAUCUACUAUCAAUACUUUUUUAUUGUUAUUUAAUUUCAUAUUAUGGAUUAUUGUUUUUAUGAAAUUAUCAAAUUUUGAAGCUUUUAAGUACUCUGUAAUCCUUUAUAGUAAUUUCAGCUUCUUUUAUUGUUGAUAAGUUUUGAUUCAUUCUUUUAAUUUCUUUUUAUUCUUAGUUUUGAUUUUAGAUUAUGAAUUUUGAUUGUUCCUUUGAUUUGCUAUGAUUGUUGGUUUGCUAAUUGGCUGUGAUUAUUGGUUGAAGGAAUAUUAUUUGAGCAAUUUGUGUUAACUGAUUUGUUGUGAUUGUUGGUUGAAUGAUUUCACGCAUAUUGUUUGAAUGAUUUUGACUAAAAAAUCGAAAUACUGAAUCGAAUCGAACCAAAAUUUAUCGAUUUGGUUAGAUUUAGUUAUUCCUAGAUCAUUGAUUCGGGUUAGUUCUAAUUUUUCUUGAAUUUUAGUUUUCGAUUCUUUUGGUUUUGUUCGAUUUGAAAUCGUCAAAUCGAACCAACAAUUUGCAUUACCCUAAAAUGUAGGAUUUUGGACUUUAGUUAUUAAGUUGCAAUAAUGGAGAGGCAUAGCCGUAAUUUUGUCUAAAAAUGAGGUACAGCUUGAAACUCACAACAGCAAUGGAGAGGAACUCUCUCCCCUACCAAUUUUCUCCCAUUUCCUUCCCUCUAAUCAGCGACAGUAGACCACCGAUGACCACCAAAACUGCUAGGCGGACCUGGUCGAUGACAGCAAGCAAAUCGUUAGUGAGAAGCAUCGAUGAAAUGGGGAUGUGAAGAGGUAGCAGCAGUGCAAAUUUCAAUUGGCAUUUUCCAAGUAUUUCAAGGGUAAAUGAAGGCGAGAUUGAAGACGUUGAACUCUCUUUGCCUAAGGCUUCCAUUCAUGACCAACGGCGAAGAGUAUGGUGGCCGAAGGAGGGAGAUCGAGGAUAGAGAAGGUUGCUAAAAAAGGGUACAAUUUUGGCAAUCCACAGCAAAUGGAGGCACAUGGUGGCUACCAAUGUGCUCUUGGAGGCAAGGCACACCUAGUGGUGUGUCUAGACCAACAAGACCACAUCGGUGGCUCCAAUGAGCUCGAGGGAACUAGUCUCCCUAAAAUACAAUUCUUGAUUGUAGGGACCAAUUUUUGGCAUUGAUUUGAAGUUGACAAGUCUUGGGUGUAGAGAAAAUGGACUAGAUCUAACUUCACCCAAAUGCUAGCUCAAGGGGAGGAAAUUUAUCUAAGUCAUAUAUAUAUAUCUCAAAUACCUUAUUUCAAUUCAAUUAUGUCCAAGUAUGAACAUUUGAAGUAUGAAAUUUACAGGCAAACAUAUCUACAGGUG
rnacentral:misc_RNA from 1 species